AUUGAACGCUGGCGGCAGGCCUAACACAUGCAAGUCGAACGAGUGGCGGACGGGUGAGUAAUGUCUGGGAAACUGCCUGAUGGAGGGGGAUAAAUACUGGAAACGGUAGCUAAUACCGCAUACCAUCAGAUGUGCCCAGAUGGGCUUAGCUUGUUGGUGGGGUAACGGCUCACCAAGGCGACGAUCCCUAGCUGGUCUGAGAGGAUGACCAUCCCCCUUGGAACUGAUACACGGCCCAGCCUCCUACGGUAGGCCGCAGUGGGGAUUAUUGCACAAUGGGCGCAAGCCUGAUGCAGCCAUGCCGCGUGUAUGAAGAAGGCCUUCGUGUUGUAAAGUACUUUCUGCGGGGAGGCGUUACCCGCAGAAGAAGCACCGGCUAAUUCCGUGCCAGCAGCCGCGUUAAUA
rnacentral:rRNA from 1 species